rnacentral:lncRNA from 1 species
AUGAAAGUUUGUAUUGCUGAAUGUGGGUUUGACUUCAACAGCUGUUAUUACUAUACAACGGUUGCCAGAACUCAAGUGAAUUCAAGCUGCUCAACAGCAGGAACUUCUGCAGUCAGCAAAAUUGUGCAUUCUGGGAUUGAAUUCACCACGAGGGGCGUAUGCAAUGUGAUGCCUUGGAAUCUGGCCAAAAUGAGUUAUGGUAGGAAGCAGCAUAAUUAAGAUUGUUUUGUAUCAGGACUUUGCGUACACUUAAAAAUGAAGGUGCUUAUAAAAAGGAAAGAAAGAAAUUGUGUUUUUAAGAGUGUAUGAUGUGUUAAAAUGCUGCUCUCGUAGGCAGCUCGCUUAGUUUUGCAACAGAGCUAAUGACUGUUCCACUGGCCUUAUGCUCAGCUGUGUGUGUUUUUCAAACACUGCUAGUCUAAAGUUUAUUUAAAUAUUUAUAGGCAAAAAAAGAGCUUACUGUAAAUGUUUAAUCAAUUUAUUCAAAUGCUGAUAUUAGUCUGUUACAUAACCUACAACAAGCAGAUUUACUUACAGCUGAUAUUUGUGUUUUUUGAUUACUUCAUUUCAGUGUGCCAGUGUAAUUUUUGCACAGGUGUAUUGCAGUGCACAAAAAAAAAAAAAAGUAGUAUAGAGAAUCACAUACUGUAGAUCAAAACAAAAACAGACGUUCUGACACAGAACACACAUUUCAAAGUACAAUAACUGAAAGUAGCAUUGUUUUUUGGAGUAUGUAAACUUAGAUUGUCUUAAAUAUCUGCAAAUAUGGUAUUUUUAUGCUUUAGUACAGUCAAAAAUUACAUAGUUACCUUUAAAAUCGGCCUGCAUGCGUACUGUGCUAAUGAUGAAAUUCUCAUCAUGCUCACUGUAUGCAUACCAUAUUAUACACAUAAAAAAAAAUGAAGUAUACUUUGGG